rnacentral:tRNA from 2 species
AUUUAAGUAAUUUAAACAAAAAUAUUGAUUUGUGGUGUCAAAAAUAUGAAUUUCAUCUUAAAUA